AUGGGGGACUCGAAAGAUCUUUGGGAGUACAUUAGAGAAGCUUGUAGUUCGACUGUUCUGAAUGAUAAGAAAGAUGAGAUUAAGUGUACACUGACGAAAAAUGGAGUGUAUACAGUUAGGUAUUUCUACAGACAUUUGAUAGAAAAUGGUAUUAAAUAUCUACACUUAUAUAUGUGGAAAAUUAAAAUGCCACGUAGAGUUAAAGUCUUUAUGUGGCUAGCUCUCAGAAACAUCAUUCUCACAAAAGAUAAUCUGCUAUGCAGGGGGUAGAAAGGGGAUAAAAAAUGCCCAUUUUGUGGACAUGAUGAAAGCAUAAACCACCUUUUCUUUUCCUGUUUUGUAGCUCGUCUGCUGUGGAAUGUCUUAAAAUGUGCUUUUAAUUUGGCAGAGAUCCCAGAUGAUCUAGAUCUUAUAAUGAGAGCCUGGGUCAAGAAAUUCGGAAGAGAAGAGAGAUGA
rnacentral:rRNA from 1 species